AGUUAAUGAACUUGAAUAAGUAUAUGUUUUGAAAACAUAAAAUAGAAAUUAAAUUUUCUAUUAACUU
rnacentral:tRNA from 1 species